GCGUAUAUGUAUAUACAUAUAUCCAGAGUUGCAUUAGUUCACAGAUAAACUGCAGUUAUCUUUCCUUCUGGAGAGCAUGAAACACAUCUUUCUCAUCAGUCUGGAAAGGUCAUUACUGAUAAUGAUGAGCAUGUAAAAUGUUUCCUUAUGAAAUCGCACUAAAUCACAGUAGCCAUCUUCAAAAUCUGAUACACUACUUGGAAUUAAUGCCGACAUAUGAACAGGUCGAAGGGGAGAAGCCAGGUACAAGUGAAUUCUUGACCUCAAAAAAAAAAGUCUAAAAUGUACUGAGGGGGUAUGUAAUUAUGUCCGCAUUAUACACCUAGUAAUCACUGAAUUUAUGCGUUUUACGUAUAUUUUACUUUAUACUGCACAUGAUGAUAUAGUAAAAUUAUCCUUGUUGGCCCGAUUUACCGGAUGGCCCUGUUUUCUACGGGUGUGAACGAGAAAUCUGGCACAGCAAUCGGCUGUUUGGAUCUGCUUAUAAUUGUUCUUCAUUGGCACUACCUUUCUGAAGGGUCAGCUGCCAGAACUUAUGAUGCAUGCAUUAACUGCUGUCGGUUUUAAUACAUCAGAGGUGCUACGUCCAGUUCUGUCAUCGUCAUGACGAUACCUCUUAUUUUUCGCCUUUUUUGUUCAUUACACGGGGGGACGCGGUGGCGCAGUGGGUUGGACCGGGUCCUGCUCUUCAGUGGGUCUGCGGUUCGAGUCCCGCUUGGGGUGCCUUGCGGCGGACUGGCGUCCCGUCCUGGGUGUGUCCCCUCCCCCUCCGGCCUUACGCCCUGUGUUACCGGGUAGGCUCCGGUUCGCCGCGACGCCAUAUGGGACAAGCGGUUCUGAAAAUUUGUCCAUUUCCUGAGGUUUUUCUUGACGUCGCCAGUUUGCCCGAUUAUGUAACGCUUCUGAGGGAUUUUAUCAGAGGGCAGCUCAUCGUACGAAAGAAGUCGAGAAAGAUCUUGAAGACCAGACGGAUCUGCUUUUCACUGCAGCACGGUGUAUUGCAACAGGAGAUGGGACCUGGGAACUCCAUGUCUGAAGGGAGAGGCUUUAAGAACUAUGAAACCCUUUGGUAUCAACAAUUUGAUAUCAUCAUGAAAUAUCAUCAGGGUAGGCCGUGGACCACCAGAACCGUUACAAGGAUAAGCAAUGAAUGAAAAUUAGACUGAGGAGCUUCAGAAGUCCGACAGAAUCAAGCAAUAAAAUGUAUUAUAUGUCCA
rnacentral:lncRNA from 1 species